UGUAACCUUCAAUUAUUAUAUAUCAUAAAGUUUUUGUUACAAAGAGGUUCACAACAAACAUUAGUACAAAAUAAGCUAACUGAAAAUAGAAAUAUUUCUAACUGAUUACAACAAUCAAAGUGAUGUCAACUCGACCGAACAUCAUUUCCCUAGCAUCCUUAUCAAUUUUCAUUCGCACCCAACCAAAGAUACUGUCGAGUCUCUCAAUACUUCUAAUUUUUUCCCCUUCUGGUAUUUUCCCAUCUAACCAAUGAAUCAACUCCCUCUUCAGUUGAUCGAAAGUAGUGAUGUUCCAGAACAACAUCAGCAUCUGAGGUUUGUCUCUCGCAUAAAUCACCUUUCCGUAUCAGCGACGAACACCAAACAUGAUUGUCAAAUGAUGAAAUGAGAUGUGAAAAAAUGAUUCACACAACACAUCUAUUUAUAAUUUAAAAAAAAUUGCAUUUUACACUGAGGUGCCAAUCCAAUUGGCGCCUCCUUUGUAAAAAUACACAUGGACGUCAAUUGGAUGGUGCAGCCAAUCCAAUUGGCGCCUCCAUUCAAUUUUUAAGAGGAGUCGCCAAUUGGAUUGACGCCUUCUCC
rnacentral:lncRNA from 1 species